AGCCUGACGCAGCGACGCCGCGUGGGCGAUGAAGGCCUUCGGGUUGUAAAGCCCUUUUCUGGGGGAAGAGGAACGACGGUACCCCAGGAAUAAGUCCCGGCUAACUACGUGCCAGCAGCCGCGGUAAAACGUAGGGGGCAAGCGUUAUCCGGAUUCAUUGGGCGUAAAGCGCGUGCAGGUGGUGCUUUAAGUUGGGCGUGAAAUCUCCCGGCUUAACUGGGAGGGGACGUUCAAUACUGAAGCACUUGAGGGCAUUAGAGGGAGGUGGAAUUCCCGGCGUAGUGAUGAAAUGCAUAGACAUCGGGAGGAACACCAGUGGCUAAUGCUGCCUCCUGGCCUGCUCCUGACACUAAGACCCGAAAGCUAUGCGAGCGAACGGGAUUAGAUACCCCGGUAGUCCUAGCUGUUAACUA
rnacentral:rRNA from 1 species